rnacentral:rRNA from 1 species
UUUAAUUCGAUGCAACGCGAAGAACCUUACCUACCCUUGACAUACAGUGAAUUUUGCAGAGAUGCGAAGGUGCCUUCGGGAACACUGAUACAGGUGCUGCAUGGCUGUCGUCAGCUCGUGUCGUGAGAUGUUGGGUUAAGUCCCGUAACGAGCGCAACCCUUAUUCUUAGUUGCCAUCGCGUAAAGGCGGGAACUCUAAGGAGACUGCCGGUGACAAACCGGAGGAAGGCGGGGACGACGUCAAGUCAUCAUGGCCCUUACGGGUAGGGCUACACACGUGCUACAAUGGCCGGUACAGAGGGGAGCGAAGGGGUGACCUGGAGCGAAUCUUACAAAGCUGGUCGUAGUCCGGAUUGGAGUCUGCAACUCGACUCCAUGAAGUCGGAAUCGCUAGUAAUCACGAAUCAGCAUGUCGCGGUGAAUACGUUCCCGGGCCUUGUACACACCGCC